GACAUGCACAAUCGUAUCAACCGUCGACAAAAUUUUCCGUAUUAAUUACCCGACAAUUUUAUUCCGGGCCGCGUUUUCGAAUCUUUGUUUUCUUGACGGAUCGAUCGUGACAUUUUGAAAUUUGAUGACGUCUGUUUACAAUUCUCAUGUAAUUCGCCGACGUUUCCCAUAUCAAUGAAUUUGUUUUUAUAAAGAACAAUGUGUUACUUUUCACUGGCGCGUGAUUAGCUUUUCUCGAAUCCAAAACUUUUACGAAACAGUGUAUCACGACGGUGUAUUCAAUUUCCAUACGAUUUUAUGAAUUAAUUGUUCACGCUUCUAAUUUUCAUUUCGAAGCGCCAUAGUAAAAAGGAAAUUAACUGUCACGCGAAAACCAAAAAACGCAAAGAACAUGUCGAAAUAAUUCCGGAAAUUGUGUACAACGGAUUUAUAUUGUGUUUAUAAACGCUCAGAGACCACUUAUUUUAGCACAAUAUCAGAUUAAAUAUCAAACUUUUUAGGAAAUAACUUCUCCUUUAUUUCAUAUGGAUUAGUUGAGAAUUUUAGGCAAAUAACGUUUCUCGAUUAAAAUAAUAUUAUUACAAAGGAAAAAUAAAAUAGCGAUAGAAAAGUGCACAAUAACAUUUUUGAUGAGUAAUCAUGUAAAAAUGAUAUACCGUGAAAGUUUCAAAAUUUCAACAAAUUGUAACGUUUCUUUACAAGCUCUUAUAGGAAAAGCUUAUGCAAACAUGAAAAAUAAAAUUCAAUUUUACAAUAACAUCGAUUUUUAGUUGUAUACUUAGGAAUUAUUAUUGUUAUAAAAAUUUUUAUUUAAAAAGGAAGUCUUUACACGCAAGUAAUAAAAAAUUCUAAAAUUAUGGAAAAUAUUGGAAAAACGAAGGGAUUUGACGCAAUCGCAGACAUCCUUGUGAUUUCUAGUAUAACGGGUGGAAUUUUCUGGAUUAACUGGCCAGGGAUUGCUCGGCCCCUAGCGUACCAUUGAAGCUCAUUCAAAGUGCAAGAGGAGCAGAAGCGGAAUGAAAGGUAAUUCAAGAGCCAAACUUCCAAAAGCUGCGUUUGCAUUUAGCAUCGGCGACGUUAUUUAUGUAGUGUCAAAUUAAAUGAUUCCGCCGAACAAAGUAUUAAAAUUACAAAAGAGCUUUCGUAGCCGUGAACCUGUCUGCAGUCUGUUAAUUUGCAUAAAAAAUCGCCGACUUCUAUGCAAAAAUAUUUCGACUAAAAAACUUCUUCGAAAAUAUUCAUUUUUUGGAACACAUCGACUUCAUAAUUCAGAGAUACUUACACGCAAAGUGUACUUUACGGUGUGCUAUAAACGAAAUAUUGGAUACUACAUACCGCGUGAAAGGAGAAUCAGCGCUGAUUAAAAAAUUGCUUACCCAUGAAUAUAGUGAUCGUACGUAAUAUAUCUUUUGCCCUAUGGAAUAAUCAAUACUGUUAAUACGCUCUAACAUUGCAUAGAAUUUUAAACCAGGUAAAUGAAAUCUACCUAUUCGUAUUAUUCAAUAUACUUCGAAUGCGUUCUAUAUACGAAAUUAUUGUUUCAUUUCAAUUUAUACUUUAUAUUUUAUUUGGUAAUGAAUUUAUACGAAUUAUUUGUACUUAAAUAUUAAUAAGGGAUGGAUUGAAUUAAAUGUAUACUGAUUUUAUGAAAAUAUUACUUUAUUGUCAAAUUCUUCGUAUACAAAUUUACAAGAUGGUACAAAGAGAAUGUUUUCUCAAAAAGAAGCUUAAAUCUGCCCUCCUAUUUUUGCAUUUAUGUGUUACAAAAAUGCAAUUGAAUAUUCAUAAAAGCAAUAUAUACAAUAUGUAUUACAUCAAAGGAAUACUAAAACCUGCGUCGAUUAAAUACUUAGUUUUUGUAUAUACUUAAUUUCAACAUUUUACGUGUCCGUCCCAUCCGGAUGUUACUAUUUUUCAAGUUUCACAAGGAUGUAUAAUAUAUUGGUACAGACAC